UUAUCUAACAGGUCGGUUUACUGACUCCCUCCCAGCAGGUGGUAGGGGCAUCGCCCGUUUUCCAGAGGAGGAAACCGAGACCCAGGGAAGUACCCAAAGAGAUAGAGGUGAACCCCAGGUGCGAGCCAGGUCCCAUUGCGGGGCUCACAAAACCCCCAGAGCCUGCCUUGGCAUCAGGCCCAACCCCGGGAGAAAUACAGCGAGAGGUUCAUCACCGCCGCCAUCAGACUGUCUCAUUCAGCUGUGUUCCCUGGCCGCCCGACAGAGGACCCAGGCAGGACAGCAUAACCACCGCUGGCAGCCCAGCCCAGCGCCCAGUGCCAGUCCAACAUUCACGCCCACCCUAGCCCUGCUCUUGGCAAUGCGCUGGCGCCGCCUGGGGUCACAGCGCCUUGGCAGCUGGGCCAGGAGGCAGGGCGAUGGAGCUGAUAAACUGUUUGAGCCACACUUCCUCCAGGAAGUCCUCUGUGCUUGGCCCUCUUGAGCCCAGCAGUUUCGCUACCCAGAGCUUCCUGAGUGGCCUGGUCCCCGGAGCCGCCUAUUCAUCCUGAACUCCUUGUUUUUGCAGAAGAGUUCUGCAGGCACCAUUCGCACAGGAGUUUGAAUCUGACAGGAAAACCAUCAGCCGUCCCUCUACGCCUUGUUACUUCCACCGCACAGCCCGCAAGGCGUUCACGUCCCUACCACAUUGGCCCCUGCCUUCCUGCAUGGACCCCGAGCAUCCCCCUGCAGGCUGACUCUUCAGCACCCUGUCCUUCAGACAGCUGGCCUUCUUACGCAGGGACUUCAAGUCCCCAGCAUGUUCCAGAAGCCCCAACGAAGCACAAAAGCUUCUGAUGACCUAGGCGCAAAGUCCAGCAAUGUUACUUCUGCCAAACUCUAACCACUGGAGAAGCGUAUUCAUCACAUUUUGUUCAGGAGACUGUGCUCACGAAUCCGGGUCGCAUUAAGGUGUGUGCAUCGCCCCGGGACAACCCCCCACCCACCGAGGGAAAACAGCCACAGUGCUACAGCACACUUAAAGGCUGUCAUGAGAGCAGCACUUUUAAACGCACUGGUGCCAAAAUAUCGGUGUGCCUCCUUUUAUUAUGAUUUUUGCUUUAUUGCUGCCUCUGAAGGUGACCCUCCGUAACUUGAGGUGUGUCCAGAUAAUAAAGUGCU